UGGGGAAUCUUGGACAAUGGGCGCAAGCCUGAUCCAGCCAUGCCGCGUGUGUGAAGAAGGUCUUCGGAUUGUAAAGCACUUUAAGUUGGGAGGAAGGGCAGUUACCUAAUACGUGAUUGUUUUGACGUUACCGACAGAAUAAGCACCGGCUAACUCUGUGCCAGCAGCCGCGGUAAUACAGAGGGUGCAAGCGUUAAUCGGAAUUACUGGGCGUAAAGCGCGCGUAGGUGGUUAGUUAAGUUGGAUGUGAAAUCCCCGGGCUCAAUCUGGGAACUGCAUUCAAAACUGACUGACUAGAGUAUGGUAGAGGGUGGUGGAAUUUCCUGUGUAGCGGUGAAAUGCGUAGAUAUAGGAAGGAACACCAGUGGCGAAGGCGACCACCUGGACUGAUACUGACGCUGAGACGCGAAAGCGUGGGGAGCAAACAGGAUUAGAUACCCCCGUAGUCCCUGAGCGGGCUGGCAAGGCGCAU
rnacentral:rRNA from 1 species